rnacentral:rRNA from 1 species
UACGUAGGGGGCAAGCGUUGUCCGGAUUUAUUGGGCGUAAAGAGCGUGUAGGCGGCCAUACAGGUCCGUUGUGAAAACUGGAGGCUUAACCUCCAGACGUCGAUGGAAACCGUAUGGCUAGAGUCCGGAAGAGGAGAGUGGAAUUCCUGGUGUAGCGGUGAAAUGCGCAGAUAUCAGGAGGAACACCGGUGGCGAAGGCGGGUCUCUGGGCCGAUACUGACGCUGAGGAGCGAAAGCCAGGGGAGCAAACGGG